GGGGAGACGUGAGGAAUCCAUGCAGCUGCGAACAUCUUGUCGGACUCCGAGAAAAUUGUAAGAUAAGAAACAAUAAACGAAGUAUGCAACCUUGAGAAAUCUGAACCUGAGAACUCCGUCUCUUCCUUCGGCUCGACUCGGAGCUGUGCAGGGGAGUAAGGACCCUGAAACCACCUCAAUGUUGGGGUAAGCCCCCGACAAUAUUCAACAAGAACCAUUUUUCAUAUGUUAUAAUUUUGUAGGCUUUGCCCUGGACUUCGUAUGAAAAUUGUGGCCAGCCAGCCAAGGGAGUAGAUUCUGCUGCUCUGCUCCACCCUGGUGAGCCCACACCUGGAGUGCUGCAUCCAACCCUGCAUUUCCCAGCAUAAGAACCACAAUGACCUGCAAAAGUAGGUCUAGAGGAGGGCCAGAAGAAAUGGUCAGAGCAUUGGAUCAUCUCUCCUAUGAAGACAGUGUGAAAGAUUUGAAUUUAGGGAAAGGAAGGAAAAUGGAAGGAAAUGUGGCAGCAUUUCAAUACUUAAAGCUGGCUCAUAAGAAAGACAGAGAGGCUUUUCCCCAAGACUUUUACAGAUAGGACAAUGGUCAAUGAUUUUAAAUUGAAAGAGAAGAGAUUUAGAUUGGACAUGAAGAAUAUUUUUACAGUGACCGUGAGAAGUAUGCUGGUCAGGUUGGAUGAGAAUUUAAGCAACCUUUCAUCUGGUGCAAGAUGUUCCUCCCCAUUUGGAUAUUUAAAGGUCCAUGUUAGUCAAUUAAUAAAAACUUGCUUCAGAGCCAACUACAUACAAAACUGUGUAGGUCUGUCUAAAACCACAGGCUGUACAAUGCCACACUGAGAACAAAAUGAGAAUGAUUGUAAACAGACCAGAAACCAAGAACACAAUGUAAAUGUAAAAACCACAGAGUAUUGUGCAAUAUGCAAAGAGGUAUCGGGAUGAAAGAAGCCAACACACAGAUCAGAAACAAAGAAGAAUAGUUAGCAAAAGAGCUACUGAGAUGCAGCAAAUAUGUCUAGAUAUCCAUUUAUUUGCAGUAGUGUGGCAGGAGUAAGGAGCAACAAAAGCAAAUGGCAACAUUUGAAGGACAAGGACGAAAAAAAAGAAAAAAAGCCCCUGAGUUCCUGAAUACUAAUCUCAGCAGAUUAUUAGGGGAAGUACAAAGGAGAAGAGUAGGAGAAGGAAGAUGAGGAAUGAUAAAUUGAAAAUUGAAACUGAAGCUGUUUUUUGAGUGGAAAUCCGUGCUGUCUAAAUCGUUGUGUGGAAAUUGCUAGCAGGGAAGGAAUCAAAAGCAAUACCAUAAAAAUGAUCACAAGUGGGUAUUAGACAUAUAAUAAAUGUCUUAGAGAAGUCCUUGAUAAGAUCAGAGCUGCUUCAACACCAGAUUUUAAUGAAAAAUAUGUAUCUGACCAACUAAACAUUAACACACUCCUAUUGGUAUAUCAAAACAUGCUGAAAUGAGGCCCUGAAGAAGGAAGCAAGUAGACAAUCAUAUCAAGGCAAAAGGCUAGCAACACUUGGCAGUAAUAAAGCUGAUUCAAUAAGGGUGAAAGUGACUGCAGAAAAUCUGAAAUCACAGCCAGAAUAUCAAAAAGAAUGAGCCUCCCAAGGUAUCAGAAGCUCUGUGCAGCGCAGUGCCUCACAGCAUGAGCACAGAUGCGUGGUGGCAAGGUUGGCUGUCCAGCCAGCUCAGUGUUUGUGUCCCCAUGGAUGGCAUCAUCCACAGCAAUGCCACAUCCUGGCAUGCAGUGGUUCCACCCAGACUCUUAGCAGUGUAUGGCAGGUGGGAGGUCGUAGUUGCUAUUGUGCUACUAGCCCUUAACAGACUUUUCUUCUGAUAAUUCGCCAAGUUACUUAUUGACUUCAUUUAUAGUUUCUUGUAUCCAAAACAUCCCUCAGCAAUGAACUGUACAACAGACCAUCCUAAAUUACUAUUUCCUUUUGCUUGGAUUGUGUUACUUAAUGAUUUCAUAGAAUACCACUCUUGUCUCUAUUCAGAAAAAUCACUAAUGAUCUUUCUCUCUGAAGCUUCUCUGUGACACUGUUGAUUAGAUGUUUCUCUGCUAAAUCUCAAGCCUCUCUCUUUCUGAAAGGAACAGAGUUUACCCAGGUGUUCUAGAAAGGAUCAAACAUUUCCUUUUUUUUUUUUUU